UGAUGUAGUAGCAGUGGGAAGGCAAGAGCGACCGCGACCCUCCUGGAAUCACCGUUCUCGCUCCUUUCCCUUUCUUUCUCCUCCCCCCCGCCCUUCCAUGGGAUGCUCCUCGCUCCCCCCCCCCCUUUCUCAUUUCUUCCCUGGCUCCGUUUUGUGCGGACGCGGUCCGGAUCUCUUUCCCGACGCCCCAAAAGAGGCGGCUUUCGUGGUGGUUAGCUUCCUUCGGUCUUUCUCCUCCCAUCCCCACCCCCGACGGUUUAAUCGGGUUUUCCUCUGGUUCUGCCUCGGCCAUCCAGUCCGCUCUAUCGUCCCAACAGCCCUGCCAGAUGCUCUCCAGAAGCUUUGGACUUCAACUCCCAUCACCCCUUGGUGAGCUGGCCCUCUGGCAUUGGGGGAAGUGUUAACAAAAAUAUGUAAAAAGACAAGUGGAUUGGAUUGUGUCUUGUGAAAGAAGCACCAUUACUGUUUAUCUAAACUUUUUAAAAGGAUGUAUACAAGAAGGAAAAAAAAA